GAGUGUGUGUGUGUGUGUGUGUGUGUGUGUGUGUGUGUGUGUGUGUGUGUGUGUUUCCGGGUUCAUUUAGAACCGUAAUCUAAAGUUUGUUUUACUUUAUAAAGCCGAUUUUAUUGCUUUUCUUCUAAUCGUCUGUUUAGUUUUGUUGUUUUGGAGGUUUGAGGAGGGGAGGGGGGGAGCCGUUGCCGUGGCAACCUGACUCAGCAGAAUUCCAGAGCAUUCUAGAACCCUCACUGACUGGCCCCGCCCAUUCCCUGCACCUCUGCUCCAAUCACCUCAGAAUCUGACAUCACAGCAUGAUGUCGCUUCAGAACUCUGGAACACCUGUGUGAUGACAUCAUGGUCUAGCCCUUCUCCUAUUGGCUCAGAGCCCCUCAGUUGUUUUUCUGUCUGUGUUGGGUUGUUGUGUCUGUUGUUUUUGUUGAAUCAGGAACCAAUCUCAGGCUCUACCUGCAGACAACACGAUGGCAAUAAACUGUCAAUAAGAAUGAAAAACUAAA